AGAGGGGGCAAGCGUUGUUCGGAAUUACUGGGCGUAAAGGGCGCGUAGGCGGCCUGCUAAGUCGAACGUGAAAUCCCUGGGCUCAACCCAGGAACUGCGUCCGAUACUGGUUGGCUUGAAUCCGGGAGAGGGAUGUGGAAUUCCAGGUGUAGCGGUGAAAUGCGUAGAUAUCUGGAGGAACACCGGUGGCGAAGGCGACAUCCUGGACCGGCAUUGACGCUGAGGCGCGAAAGCCAGGGGAGCAAACGGGAUUAGAUACCCCGGUAGUCCUGGCCCUAAACGAUGAAUGCUUGGUGUGGCGGGUAUCGAUCCCUGCCGUGCCGAAGCUAACGCAUUAAGCAUUCCGCCUGGGGAGUACGGUCGCAAGGCUGAA
rnacentral:rRNA from 1 species